UAUUAUGCUAAUGUUGUAGAAUCGGCCCUUGAUCCUCAACCUGCACAUUCUUUCGUCGAUCGGCCACCAACCGAUCACGCGCCUCUGCAUGUCGCCCAUCACUAUAAAAGCUGUUCCCAGCUCACGUGUGUUGCCGCAACUCUGGUAGAUAGUAUGAUUACCUCUAAACGUUCGCACCAUAGAUCCUGUCCAACACACCUCCUGCAGCGCUACGGUUCCGAACCCGCGGUCCUUCAGUAUAUCGGCGAGUAUGCGGGUGCUCCCGAUGAAGUUGAGAGAUCUGCAGUUCCACGUACCGAGCUUCCAAUCGCAAGUCCCUUUUCGUCGCUGUGGUCGUCGCCAUUGGUAUCGGUUCGCAUUCUUCUCUCGUUGAUUUUCCGGUGCUAGUCUUUUUUACGGCUGGCUCGCAGGGCCUGACACCAACCCACUCAAUAUGACCUUUCGGUUAAUCCGAGUAAAACAUCUAUUUUUCUUUUCACGGAAAGGCGAAACCGUAAUGGCUUUCGACCUUUGCGUCUCUUCGAUUCUGAAAUUAGUGUGACUGAUCAAGUAAAGUACGUUUGAGUUAUUCUUGAUUGGAAGCUUUCCUAGACACCUCACAUUGAUUUCAUAAUCAAGAAAGCUUGUAUGGCCUUCGGGCAAUGUCGGCGAACCUUUUGUACAACUUGGGGUCUAAAACUCCCAAGUACCUAUAUCAAAUGGAUUUACAUAACGGUUGUUCAACCAAUAUUGACCUACACACUUAAUUCAGAUUGCCGGGAUAUCAGCAUUUUUCCAUUCUUUUGCCGAGAUUUGCACAGCCGAGUAAUCAGCAAACAACAAUUUUGCUGAGAUCUCAGCAAUUUUGACAGUUCAUUGCUGAGCUUCGGCAAUCGUUUUGCUGAGAGUCAGCUAACAAAUGUCACUUUUUGCUGGGAUAUCAGCUGAUAGUUUUACUGAGCAGACGGCUGUGCGCGUUUUUGCCGAGCCCGCAAAUCUGUUUUGAGUCUAUAGGGUAAAAGCUCCCUUAGUGGAGGUAGUACCAAUAGUGGUGGUAGUGGUAAUUUAGCACCAUUUUGACCAAAAAGCUUGCAAAUUACAUUUUUAAUAGAUGCAUCAUACCUAAAUACUAACAUUAAUUCAGUUUUGUGUUCAAGAUUUGCCGAAAAACCUUUUUAAAUCAAUUAUUUUUCUUAAUUUUUUUGCUCCUUUGCACCUAUAGUGGUGGUAGUGUUCCCAUAGUGGUGGGUCCCAUAAGAAUUCAAUGGGAUGCGCCACUAUAGGAACCAAUGUUAAAUUUUACCUCCAUAAUAGGAACCGUGUGCCUAUAGUUGGUGCAAGUGAUUUAUUAGCAAAAACUGAAAUAAACAAUAGUUUUUGCAUUUUUUCCAGAAAGUUUAUGUGAAAAACUACCGAUUAACGUUUUCAGCCUU